UUUCCGUAGGUGAACCUGCGGAAGGAUCAUUACAUUCAGUAGCCCAGCUACUUGUUUACACCCUUGUUUUUUUUUGCGUACCUAUCGUUUCCUCGGCGGGCUUGCCUGCCGGUUGGACAACAUUUAAACCUUUUUAAAUCUUCAAUCAGCGUCUGAAUAAUAUACAAUAAUUACAACUUUCAACAACGGAUCUCUUGGUUCUGGCAUCGAUGAAGAACGAGC
rnacentral:misc_RNA from 1 species